AACACAUGCAAGUCGAACGAGAAAGUGGAGCAAUCCAUGAGUAAAGUGGCGACCGGGUGAGUAACACGUGACUAACCUACCUUCGAGUGGGGGAUAACCUCGGGAAACCGAGGCUAAUACCGCAUAACAUCGCAAGAUCAAAGCAGCAAUGCGCUGGAAGAGGGGGUCGCGGCUGAUUAGCUAGUUGGCGGGGUAAUGGCCCACCAAGGCUAAGAUCGGUAUCCGGCCUGAGAGGGCGCACGGACACACUGGAACUGAAACACGGUCCAGACUCCUACGGGAGGCAGCAGUGGGGAAUUUUGCGCAAUGGGGGAAACCCUGACGCAGCAACGCCGCGUGGAGGAUGAAGCCCCUUGGGGCGUAAACUCCUUUCGACCAAGACGAUAAUGACGGUACUGGUGGAAGAGGCA
rnacentral:rRNA from 1 species